rnacentral:rRNA from 1 species
AGCGAACGCUGGCGGCAGGCCUAACACAUGCAAGUCGAGCGCCCCGCAAGGGGAGCGGCAGACGGGAGAGUAACACGUGGGAACGUACCCUUUGGUUCGGAACAACCCAGGGAAACUUGGGCUAAUACCGGAUAAGCCCUUACGGGGAAAGAUUUAUCGCCGAAGGAUCGGCCCGCGUCUGAUUAGCUAGUUGGUGGGGUAACGGCCCACCAAGGCGACGAUCAGUAGCUGGUCUGAGAGGAUGAUCAGCCUCACUGGGACUGAGACACGGCCCAGACUCCUACGGGAGGCAGCAGUGGGGAAUAUUGGACAAUGGGCGCAAGCCUGAUCCAGCCAUGCCGCGUGGGUGAUGAAGGCCCUAGGGUUGUAAAGCCCUUUCGGCGGGGAAGAUAAUGACGGUACCCGCAGAAGAAGCCCCGGCUAACUUCGUGCCAGCAGCCGCCAUAA